CGGACUGCAGCCUGCAACUCGGCUGCACGAAGCCGGAAUCGCUAGUAAUCGCAGAUCAGCAUGCUGCGGUGAAUACGUUCCCGGGUCUUGUACACACCGCCCGUCACACCAUGGGAGUUGGAAAUGCCCGAAGUCAGUGGCCCAACCGGAAGGGGGGAGCUGCCGAAGGCAGGUUCGAUGACUGGGGUGAAGUCGUAACAAGGUAUC
rnacentral:rRNA from 1 species